rnacentral:ncRNA from 2 species
UCUGCAUCAAGAGAAGGCCGAGGGAACCGGCCCUGUGACGCCUUCGGCAACCUGCCCCCGCGGCAAGGUGCCAAACCCGGUCGGGCCCCGCCCGAAGGAUGUGUC